UACAACUUUCAACAACGGAUCUCUUGGUUCUGGCAUCGAUGAAGAACGCAGCGAAAUGCGAUAAGUAGUGUGAAUUGCAGAAUUCAGUGAAUCAUCGAAUCUUUGAACGCACAUUGCGCCCCAUGGUAUUCCAUGGGGCAUGCCUGUUCGAGCGUCAUU
rnacentral:rRNA from 1 species